CACUCAUACAUUUAUUUCCACACCACACCGUCACUACUGCUUAUACAUCUAUCGAGACUGUCUACUAUUUUGUGGUCUCAUCAAUUACAUUGAAUUCUUGGUUGAGACAGUCAGGAAACUAAAAACAUCUGUUUUAUGUCUUCAGCGCAGUCAUGUUAUUGCCUAUUAGUGUCUUAGUAGUUCAUAGUUGUUGAAGACUGAUCCCUUUCUUUGUAAUCUUUUCAAUGUUAAAAUAGUGUAUUCUAUGCAGAGAUGUGUAACCAUUUUUAGGAGUUUGGGGGCGGAGCGUUCAGAAGAACUAUUUGAAAAAAAAAAACAAUCAUUAUUUUUCAUUACGUUGCACAGGAAAAACGUUUUUAAUCCCUUCAUUUGUUUUGCUGUUUCCUCUCCACACCUUUUCAAAUAUUGACUAGAGGCAGGCUGAACUCAUUCGUCUCCACCAACACCUCUUAUGUUCACAGCUGAAAAACCACACCAAUCCAUCAGUCUUAUCAUUUUAUGUCGCUCUCAUUCUAGAGCUUGUAUAAUGUAACACCAAUACCACUGACAUUUACUCUUUUACCCUGCUGGAUAAGUUGCUUGCCUUUAUUUGUAAGUAAUCUCAUCAUUCUGUUUAAGAUAGCGAGGUUUCGAAAAUAUCAUGUCUACUUGAAUUCCCUGAAACGUCCUCUUGCUUGGCCGUAUCAGACGAGCACGAGAGAAGCUAUCUGAUUUCUCUCAGAUUAUGUGGUGAGUUUUCUUCUUAAAACUUACAGGGGUUUCGGGCCAAACGCUAACCUCUGUGGUAUUUGCCUCCUGAUUCAAUUACUGUCCCGGCAGCCAAUUAGGCCACUUUGUGAUUCUUAGUCAAUUCAGAGGAGGCCAGCUUCUGUUUGGGAGCUAAAUUUGGCAGGCCAGCAGUGACCUAACACAGCGUUCUUUUGAAAUGAAGCACUAUUUGGCAGCGUGAAAGAUGUAAGAUAAUAUGAAAUGGUGACCACAGUAAGUCGCAGACGACCACAGUUAGUUUCAAACUGAGGCCCAAUGGGAGGUUUUCAUCAAAACCUUCCAGGAAAAACAAAAGGCCCUCUAAAAAUAAAUCAGGUUAUUACUACCACGUGCCCCUCCCUCCCUCCGUCCCACCCGCUCUCUGGCUUCUUUUCUCCGCUGCUGCUCCCAGGCUCCGAUGGUCAUCUUUUCUUUCAGAUUUAAUUCUCCUAGCCAUUUUUUUACCAUCCUGAAGCACCAUCACCAUUUAGCAUUCAAUUUUCCUGUUGUGAAUUGCUGUCGACACAUAAUUUUCAUGUUUUAAGAUAGACGCGAAUCCUUAUUAGCUGUGCAUAAUUAUUAGCGCUGCAUGAAAAUUGCUUUAAGGUCACAAUAAAGUUGAAAGGUGUGGUCGGCGCCACUCUGUCUGUGUGGGUCAUGACUGGGCGUUGUUCUAACAUAAGAAAUGAAUCACUGGAUAUUUCAUAAUUAGUGGUGCUUGCAAAGGCAAGCAUGGCCAUUAAUAUUGCUCACAGUAAGGGUUAGGGAUUUAAACAAACCCCUAACCCUGAGUAUCAAAGGCAACUCGUCAUGACUCGUCUACAGACAUGAAUUAUGUCUCUGAGUGUGUGGCUUGUUGAAGAGACGUGUGCUGUUUACUUCUGUAAAGCCAUCAGACUUAUAAUUUUCACCUGGCAUGCAGUAAAUGGGUGGAAACUUCCUGUAGACUUACUUUGAUUGAGGGUUCUGAGCCAUACUUAGAGAUCAGAAUAUCACUGAGAACUGGGAAUGGGAUCUCUUGACUGAACCUGGACAAAAAAAGAAAAGAAAAAAAAAAAGUUUGCCCAGAACACCUUAGCAACGGCAUAGAGAUGGUCCUGGAAAUCACCUACAGUACCUUAUUGUGGUAGUUUUGCACAGGCAAGCGCCACUUAAUUUUUUUUGUCAGAAUUUCAUGGUUUUCCGAGUUGCUUUAUUUAAAGUCAACCAGCUGAAACUAUCACUUGUUUACAUUUGAGACUAUUUUGUUUAUAUUUAAAGGGAUAGUCAACUCUGAAAAUCCAGUCAUUAUUACUUACCCUCAUGUCGUUCCAAAUCCGUAAGACCCGUGUUCAUCUUUGUAACACAAAUUAAGAUAUUUCUGAUGAUAUCUGAGAGCUUUCUUACCCUCCAUUGAGAGCAACACAACUGGCACAUUCAAGGCCCAGAAAGGUAGUAAGGACAUGGUUAAAAUAAUCCAUUUGACAUCAGUGAUUCAACCACAAUUUUAUGAUGCUACGAGAAUAGUUUUUGUGUACAAAGAAAACAAAAAUAAUGACUUUAUUCAACAAUUUAUUUUCUUCAAAGUCAGUCUAUGAUGCAUGUUCAUGACAGUACUAAAAAUAUCCUAAUUUGUGUUCCGAAGAUGAACGAAGGUCUUACGGGUUUGGAACGAUUUUGUUGAACUAUCCCUUUAAAAUGAAUUAUAACACUAUGGUGCAUUUAGAAAAAUACUAGCAGGUCAAAUUUAGGGCACAGGUUUUAGUUAAUACGCCUUCAGUACAGCCUGCAUUCCAUUACACAAUAUAGUACUUCACAAACCUGCGUAGGAGUUUUUCAGAUGUUUGGACAGUAUUUGGGAUGGAUUCCGCUUAGAUUAAGCAUGCCAAUCAGGAGAGAAUAGCACCUCUCACUCCUUGGUUUGUCAUGUGUGCAGUGUAUUUCGUGCGAGCACAGGCAAAAGCGUGAGGGCUAAGCAUUGUGGUAUGCUGUUUCAUGUGAGGACUCGUGUGUGUGUGUGUGUGUGUGUGUGUGUGUGUGUGUGUGUGUGUGUGUGUGUGUAUUGCGCGUGUGAGUGCGAGUACCAUCUGUCGGUCAGGCACACAGAACGCAUUGUAUCUCAGCUACUCUCAAAGCCCAGUCACAAAGUUCACACGGACAACCAUCCAGGAAGAGAGCGAUUGAUAAAAGGCAUAUCAGAAAUCUGGAUGUGCAUUGUGUGUGCCUGCAGCCAGGACAAAACCACAUGAAUCCAAACAUGGGAUGCUUGAUAAGAGAUCAGAUGACUCCCGUUUCAGCUGAAAAGCAUAUUAUUGGAAUCUGACCAAUAUGAAACAUUGACAUUAAACACUUUUUCGAUUAGCACAUAUACUGAAGUAUUUGUUAACAAAACCUGUUAUCCACACAUUUUCAAACAGGUUGCACUUAUUUAUGAUCAUUCAGAUAUUAAACAUGCUGAUAUCAACAUUUGCAUUUCUAAUGAACCGUGCCUUUUUUUUCACGUUUCUUUGAGUAAACAGAACAUUCCAAAGAACAUAUUUUACAGUAUUAACAUAAAUGUAUUGUAAUGUAAAAGUCAUUGCUGUCCCUUUUGAUCUUUUUUAAGUUAAAAGCAAUUUUAUAGUGAAGUCAAGUCACUGUUAUUUAUAUAGCUCUUUUUACAAAGCAGAUUGUGUCAAAGCAGCUUUACAGUAUUAAAGAGGGAAAUAGUGUGUCGAAAUAGUGAGCCGUAUAAUGUAAAUAUAUAAAAAGGUUUUAAAAAAUUACUUAAAGAUUUCGCUCUUAGAUGAGAGCUCAUCUUCAUGAGAAUGUGUUUGCAUCUGUACAGUUCCAGAAAGUCCUUAUAUGGUGAUUUGAGCAUGUUAAGAAUUGGGCAUGUUAGUUUUCAUGUAGUGAAAUGGUUAUUGGGCUUAAUGUUAUUAAACCCAAUAACCAUUUCACUACAUGAAAGCUACCAGAAAGCACAAUCAAUAUUAACCAAAUAACUUUAAUUGUACAGUAAUUAAACUCACAGAGACUUCUGGAAUGGUCUGUUCCCAGGGCAAUGUGACCCACUGCAAGUGUUACAACAUUUAAGGGUUGCACCUUUGGCGUAUUAAUAAAUAUUGCAUAACUGGUGAUAAAUGUCUAGAGGUAUUUAUCUGGUUUGAAUGGAGCCUCUGUAGUCUCACCAUCUGCUGUAUCAGGAAGUCCGUGUAAGGCUGGCGUAUCUUUAUAUCUCAAUGUGCGCGUAUCAUGUCACCAUGUGUCCAACAUGGCUUAACCUACUUGUUUUAAAAGGCACGUAUUGGGAUAUUAGCUUGUGCAUGAUAUAAGCUUGUGCAUGCAUGGUUACAGGUUUUUCAUAAUUGAAAUUAUGUGCAUGUGUGCCAUUGUGCCCUCCCCUGUGCCCCGUAUACACCCAGCAGCUGCAGAGGGGAUCAGAGUUGAGCUGCGUUCCUGGGGAGACCCCUGAGGCAGGACAGCUGCAGUGUGCCUGCCUGCGUCUCUCUCUCUCUCUCUCUCUCCCUCUCUCCAGAGACGCAGUAAUUACACGGGACAUUCCACAAUUUAUUAUUGCAAGCAUACGUGUACAUGCACACAGAAACGCAAUCACUGAUGCUCAAGGCAUGUAGCUUCAGUCUGCUGUGGGCACACGGGAUUCAGCCAGUAGAGAUCUGGCAUGAGCUUGAUUUAGUGGAACAGUGCACCCAAAAAUGUAUGUUUUGUCAUUAUCUGUUCACCCUGAUGUCUUUUGAAAUUUGCAUAAUUUUACAGAAUGCCCCAGCUGCUCUUUUCCACACGUACACAGUUAAUGUUGUUCUGCAUUUCUGUUUUGAGCUGUGCACGCUGAAGAUGACC